UACCCUAUAAAUCUCGAAAUACCAGCGAAGUGAUCAGCAACAGCAACUCCCUCUGGUGUUUAGGGCUUCUGUUUCACUCAAAAUCCCAAAGAAAUUUCGAGGUUCGUUUAGGGAGUCCAUGGCUUCAAAGGUAUCUUCGUUGCAGAAGGUGGUUCAGGCAUCGAACUUUCUAAUCAAGAAUGGAAAUAUCUAUUACAAGCAGUUGGUAGAGCAGAACAAGCACCAUAUCCAGGAGCCACCCACCAUUGAGAAAUGUCAAACUUUAGCAAAACAACUGUUCUAUACUCGUCUCGCCAGCAUUCCGGGUCGUUAUGAAGCAUUCUGGAAGGAAGCUGACUCUCUCAAGAAUGCACUAAUAAACAGGCAGGAACUGAAUGUGGAGAAUGCUGGUCUUGCUGCUCUGUUUGGACUUGAGUGCUAUGCGUGGUUCUGCGGUGGUGAGAUUAUAGGGAGGGGUUUCACCUUUACAGGCUACUAUGUUUGAGUGGCACUUCUUUAGGAAAAUAUCUAUUUGUUUUAGCUUUUGGAGAUUAGUACAUCCAAGUGGCUCUGAGAUUCUGAGUCAGCCAGACAUGGCUUCCGAAAUAAUUCAAUAUGAUUUCGUUCUGCUUCGAAAUUAAAAUACUCUUAGUGAUCAUCCCGCACCGAUGGAAUCAGAUGCAGCUUCUGAUAUCUGGUUGUAGAAUUUUUCCUAGAAUUUAUGCAGUUUACAAUCCAGUUGUUUAUAGUUCUCCCAAUGCAUUAUCAUCAGUCAUUGCCUAAGUUUGGGAUGAACUCAAAGAAUCGAAUCCACAUAAUGGAGCAUAUUUGUAGAUGGAAAAACAUUGAGGCUCCAAUUUGUAUCGUCUGGAUCAUACUC